UUGCGGUGAUGAUACCAACUUUGGUUUCGCUUUUUUCUGAAACAUUUGAUGACAUCCUUUCCUUGGCUGUCUGAGCAA